rnacentral:rRNA from 1 species
UACAGAGGUGGCAAGCGUUGUUCGGAAUUACUGGGCGUAAAGGGCGCGUAGGCGGCCUUCUAAGUCAGACGUGAAAUCCCCCGGCUUAACCUGGGAACUGCGUCUGAUACUGGGAGGCUUGAGUAUGGGAGAGGGAUGUAGAAUUCCAGGUGUAGCGGUGAAAUGCGUAGAUAUCGGGAAGAACACCCGUGGCGAAGGCGGUUCUCUGGGACGGUACUGACGCUGAGACGCGAAAGCGUGGGGAGCGAACAGG